rnacentral:ribozyme from 16 species
GUUCUCCAAUUUUUUGGUUUGUUUUAGUUUUUUCUCUUUUUUUUGGGUUUUCUUUCUAAAUUUAACAACUGGAAACGGGUGGAGAGGG